AUUGAACGCUGGCGGCAGGCCUAACACAUGCAAGUCGAGCGACCGGCGGACGGGUGAGUACUGUCUGGGGACUGCCCGUUAGAGGGGGAUAACUAAUAGAAACGCUAACUCAUACCGCCUCCUAUCGGAUUACCACUAUGGGAUUAGCUAGUAGGUGGGGUAAUGGCUCACCUAGGCGACGAUCCCUAGCUGGUCUGAGAGGAUGAUCAGUCACACUGGGACUGAGACACGGCCCAGACUCCUACGGAGGCAGCAGUGGGGAAUAUUGCACAAUGGGCGCAAGCCUGAUGCAGCCAUGCCGCGUGUAUGAAGAAGGCCUUAGGUUUGUAAAGUACUUUCAGUCGGGAGGCGUUACCGACAGAAGAAGCACCGGCUAACUUCGUGCCAGCAGCCGCGGUAAUUC
rnacentral:rRNA from 1 species